UACGUAGGUGACCAGCGUUGUCCGGAUUUACUGGGCGUAAAGAGCGCGCAGGCGGUCGUUCAAGUCGAGUGUGAAAGCCCCCGGCUCAACUGGGGAGGGUCAUUCGAUACUGAUCGACUCGAAGGCAGGAGAGGGAAGCGGAAUUCCCGGUGUAGUGGUGAAAUGCGUAGAUAUCAGGAGGAACACCAAUUGCGAAGGCAGCACUCUGGGACGUGACUGACGCUGAGACGCGAAAGCGUGGGGAGCAAACAGG
rnacentral:rRNA from 1 species